rnacentral:rRNA from 1 species
GACGAACGCUGGCGGCGUGCUUAACACAUGCAAGUCGAACGAUGAAGCCCAGCUUGCUGGGUGGAUUAGUGGCGAGCGGGUGAGUAACACGUGAGUAACCUGCCCCAGACUCUGGGAUAACCCCGGGAAACCGGAGCUAAUACCGGAUACGACGCGAAGAGGCAUCUCUAUCACGUGGAAAGUUUUUCGGUCUGGGAUGGACUCGCGGCCUAUCAGCUUGUUGGUGAGGUAACGGCUCACCAAGGCGACGACGGGUAGCCGGCCUGAGAGGGCGACCGGCCACACUGGGACUGAGACACGGCCCAGACUCCUACGGGAGGCAGCAGUGGGGAAUAUUGCACAAUGGGCGAAAGCCUGAUGCAGCGACGCCGCGUGGGGGAUGACGGCCUUCGGGUUGUAAACCCCUUUCAGCUGGGAAGAAGCGCAAGUGACGGUACCUGCAGAAGAAGCACCGGCUAACUACGUGCCAGCCGCCGCAGUAACAC